UACGAAGGGUGCAAGCGUUACUCGGAAUUACUGGGCGUAAAGCGUGCGUAGGUGGUUCGUUAAGUCUGAUGUGAAAGCCCUGGGCUCAACCUGGGAAUGGCAUUGGAUACUGGCGACCUAGAGUGCGGUAGAGGGGUGUGGAAUUCCCGGUGUAGCAGUGAAAUGCGUAGAUAUCGGGAGGAACAUCUGUGGCGAAGGCGACACCCUAGACCAGCACUGACACUGAGGCACGAAAGCGUGGGGAGCAAACAGG
rnacentral:rRNA from 1 species